rnacentral:misc_RNA from 1 species
CAAGUCCGCCCACUGUGCGCACACGACACCUCUAUCGCUCUUUUCCACUGCCCACCCGCCCACCCCUACCCCUCCCACACCUCAGCGACACCAUGCAGGCGUACGAAGAGCUGAAGCAGCUGCAUCGAAAGCUGCACAACCUUCGGCACCUUCUUGCCCUAGGUGAGUGGGACAUGCAUACCAUGAUGCCGCCGAAGGGCGCAACGGCUCGCGCGAACGCGCUUGCGGAGCUGGAGGCACACGUGCACCAGCUUCACACAGCGCCACGCGUUGCGCUCCUUUUGAAGGAGGCGCUGCUGGUUAAGGACGAACUCGCCGAGGUGGACCGCGCGAACCUCCGCGAAAUGGUGCGCCUGCACGAGCUUGCGUCGCAGCUGCCGGAGGAGCUGCUGCGGCGCAGGACGCGGCUGACAACGCUGGCGCAGCAGCUGUGGGUAAAAUGCCGCGCGGAAAACGACAUUGCUGCGUGGCUGCCGACGCUGCAGGAGCUGGUGGACCUCGAGCGCGAGGAGGGCCGCCUUCGAGCCGGCACAAGCGGGAAGUCCCCGUACGACGCGCUGCUCGGCGCCAACGAGCCCGGGAUGACGGUUGCGAAGCUGGACGCAAUCUACGCGGACAUCAAGUCUUGGCUGCCGGCGCUGUACAAGGAGGUGCUGGAGAACCGAAAGGACAUGGGCGCGAGCCUCACUGAGCUGCAGACGCCGAUCUCGAAGGAAAAGCAGAUUGCGCUUGGCCGGCAGCUGAUGACGGACGUGUGGAAGUACGACUGGGGCGCGGGUCGCUACGACGAGGCGCCGCACCCGUUUGGUGGGAUGGUGAAGGAGGACGUGCGGAUGACGUACUACUGGUCGCCGGACAACUACACCAAGUGCCUGCUGGCGACGAUCCACGAGACAGGACACGCCAAAUACGAGCAGAACUGCGGGCCGCGCGAGCUGCUUGGGCAGCCGGUGUGCGAGGCGCGAUCCGGCGGCAUCCACGAGACGCAGUCGCUGCUGGCGGAGAGGAUGAUAGCCAAGUCCGCUGCGUUCGCCGAGUACCUGACGCCGCUGCUGGAGCUGCACCUUGGCGCGCAGCCAGGGCUGACGGUGGAGAACGUGCGCAAGAUCAACCAGCUGGUGAAGCCGAGCUACAUCCGGACGCUUGCAGACGAGGUGGGUUACUCUCUCCACGUGAUCCUGCGCUACGAGAUCGAGCGCGACCUGAUCGAGGGGCGCCUGGAGGCGGUGGACGUGCCGCGGGUGUGGGACGAAAAGAUGAAGGAGUACAUGGGCCUGGAGACGCUUGGGCGCGACGACCUCGGGUGCCUACAGGACAUUCACUGGGCUGCCGGCUAUUGGGGGAGUUUUCCUGCCUACACGAUCGGCGCCAUCGGCGCUGCGCAGCUGAUGGCGGCCAUCCGCCAGCAGCUGGGUGACGACGUCGUGACGCAGUGCAUCCGCACGGGCCACAUCGACCCCAUCUUGGCCAAGCAGAAGGAGAUGAUCUGGGACCUGGGCUGCCUGCUCGAGACGGACGAGCUGCUUAUCAAGGCAACCGGCGAGCCGCUGAACCCGCGCCACCUGCGCGAGCACCUGGAGCGCCGCUACCUGCGCAAUGAGGACUGAGGAGUGGAAGCAGUGCUUGUUGCCGUCCUUUGAGCUUGCGUUCUGCUGUCUGGCCCCCUCCCCUUUCCCUGCCAGCGUCAGCAAGCCCCGGCCUCGCCGUGCGCGUGGUGCUCCGUGCAACCUUGUGUGUGUUCUGUCAUGCUCCCUCUCUCCUCGAGAUGACAUCGGCAAACUCCGUGUGCCCACGAUCGCAUGCGAAGGUAACUUUUAUUGAUGUUUUGAUUUCGUUUUUUUUUUGUUUGGUCUGAUUUUUCAGUGCACGAACGACGCGGUGCGCGGUCUGUGCCGUGGGUCGGUGUGGUAGACGACACGCACAGGCACACGCGCGUACGCAGAUGUCGGCACGUUUUUACUUUCCCUUUUUAUCGCUCUGAUUAUUCUGUUUUGACACGAUGCACCGCCGCCUCACUGCUGGCUAGCUGCUGCGCUGGGUCACUCAAAAGUCUUACAUCCACUCCGCUUCUAUAUACUAUUUCCGCCCACGCCCAUCGACACACCGGUGGGUGGGCCCCUC